UACGGGGGGGGCAAGCGUUGUUCGGAAUUACUGGGCGUAAAGGGCUCGCAGGUGGCCAACUAAGUCAGACGUGAAAUCCCUCGGCUUAACCGGGGAACUGCGUCUGAUACUGGAUGGCUUGAGUUCGGGAGAGGGAUGCGGAAUUCCAGGUGUAGCGGUGAAAUGCGUAGAUAUCAGGAGGAACACCAAUGGCGAAGGCAGUGUUCUGGGCCAGUACUGACGCUGAGGAGCGAAAGCGUGGGUAGCAAACAGG
rnacentral:rRNA from 1 species